rnacentral:rRNA from 1 species
ACGGAAGGCAGCAGUGAGGAAUAUUGGUCAAUGGACGGAAGUCUGAACCAGCCAUGCCGCGUGCAGGAAUAAGGCCCUAUGGGUCGUAAACUGCUUUUGUGGUGGAGCAAUAAGGGCCACGUGUGGUCCGAUGAGAGUACAUCACGAAUAAGCAUCGGCUAACUCCGUGCCAGCAGCCGCGGUAAUACGGAGGAUGCAAGCGUUAUCCGGAUUUAUUGGGUUUAAAGGGAGCGUAGGCCGUGCUUUAAGCGUGCUGUGAAAUGUAGGCGCCCAACGUCUGCACUGCAGCGCGAACUGGAGCACUUGAGUACGCAGGAAGUAGGCGGAAUUCGUCGUGUAGCGGUGAAAUGCUUAGAUAUGACGAAGAACUCCGAUUGGGAAGCCAGCUUACUGUAGCGCCACUGACGCUGAUGCUCGAAAGCGUGGGUAUCGAACAGGAUUAGAUACCCUGGUA